AAGUCCUUUUUCAUUCUCCGCUUGCAAGCUGAAACAACAUUCUGCAGCAUUCAUGCAUGUCCUUGCCCCUUGUUUUCUGCCAACAGAAACCACCACCACAACUCCGACCACCACCAGCACCACCCAUGAACCUACAACCGCUUCAGAUCAUGUGUCGCUUGCACCCUGGGCCCUUUCCCUGAUUGUUCUGGGCUGUAUUGGUGCAGGCAUGGCGAUCGUUGGAACAGCUUUAACAGUCUGCUACUGUCUGAAAAUGAGAAGAUCUCAACAGCAGAACACAUGUGGGUCAGGAGGAAGCUAUGUUCCACAUGCUAUGCCGUGCGGGAAAUUUUGAGAAGCCACGCAAUGGAGAUGGUAUAAUCAGAUGGG